rfam:Triticum aestivum genome assembly, contig: Triticum_aestivum_CS42_TGACv1_scaffold_198280_3AL
AAAGUACUCCCUCUGUUCCAAAUUACUCGUCGCAGAAAUGGAUGUAUCUAGAACUAUAAUACAUCUAGAUACAUCCAUACCUACGACAAGUAAUCCGGAACGGAGGGAGUACACA